UACGUAGGGUGCGAGCGUUAAUCGGAAUUACUGGGCGUAAAGUGUGCGCAGGUGGCUUCGCAAGUCGAGUGUGAAAUCCCCGGGCUUAACCUGGGAAUUGCGCUCGAAACUACGGAGCUGGAGUGUGGCAGAGGGAGGUGGAAUUCCACGUGUAGCGGUGAAAUGCGUAGAGAUGUGGAGGAACACCAAUGGCGAAGGCAGCCUCCUGGGCCAACACUGACACUCAUGCACGAAAGCGUGGGGAUCAAGCGGG
rnacentral:rRNA from 1 species